GACGAACGCUGGCGGCGUGCCUAACACAUGCAAGUCGAACGAAGCAUUAAGAGCUUGCUUUUGAUGCUUAGUGGCGGACGGGUGAGUAACGCGUGAGCAACCUGCCUUUCAGAGGGGGAUAACGUUUGGAAACGAACGCUAAUACCGCAUAACAUAUUUGAAUCACAUGGUUUGAAUAUCAAAGGAGCAAUCCACUGAAAGAUGGGCUCGCGUCCGAUUAGCUAGUUGGUGAGAUAACAGCCCACCAAGGCGACGAUCGGUAGCCGGACUGAGAGGUCGAACGGCCACAUUGGGACUGAGACACGGCCCAGACUCCUACGGGAGGCAGCAGUGGGGGAUAUUGCACAAUGGAGGAAACUCUGAUGCAGCAACGCCGCGUGAGGGAAGAAGGAUUUCGGUUUGUAAACCUCUGUCAUUGGUGACGAUAAUGACGGUAGCCAAUGAGGAAGCUCCGGCUAACUACGUGCCAGCAGCCGCGGUAAUACGUAGGGAGCGAGCGUUGUCCGGAAUUACUGGGUGUAAAGGGUGCGUAGGCGGGGGACCAAGUCAGGUGUGAAAACUAUCGGCUCAACCGAUAGCCUGCAUUUGAAACUGGUUCUCUUGAGUGAAGUAGAGGCAGGCGGAAUUCCCGGUGUAGCGGUGAAAUGCGUAGAGAUCGAGAGGAACACCAGUGGCGAAGGCGGUCUGCUGGGCUUUAACUGACGCUGAGGCACGAAAGCAUGGGUAGCAAACAGGAUUAGAUACCCUGGUAGUCCAUGCUGUAAACGC
rnacentral:rRNA from 1 species